GGGUAAGUCCUGCACGACCAGCUCCCUCUCAACUCCGUCAGGACCGGAAGGUAGCAGCGGCAGGAGGUCGUAGCGGUGCGAUGCAGGUCGCUUACCCCU
rnacentral:SRP_RNA from 1 species